rnacentral:rRNA from 1 species
UACGAAGGGUGCUAGCGUUGUUCGGAAUUACUGGGCGUAAAGGGCGCGUAGGCGGAUAAGUAAGUUAGGUGUGAAAUCCCUCGGCUCAACCGAGGAACUGCACUUAAUACUGCUAAUCUAGAGUGCGAAAGGGAGAGACGGAAUGGCGAGUGGAGCAGUGAAAUGCGUUGAUAUUCGUUGGAACACCGGUGGCGAAGGCGGUCUCUUGGUUCGUAACUGACGCUAAUGCGCGAAAGCGUGGGGAGCAAACAGG